UAUGGUGACUAUGGCAGUGGGGAUCACCUCUUCCCAUCCCGAACAGAGCAGUUAAGCCCACUUGCGCAGAUGGUACUAGGGUAACACCUGGGAGAGUAUGUCGUCGCCAAUC
rnacentral:rRNA from 1 species